rnacentral:rRNA from 1 species
AGAGUUUGAUCAUGGCUCAGGACGAACGCUGGCGGCGUGCUUAACACAUGCAAGUCGAACGGAAAGGUCUCUUCGGAGACACUCGAGUGGCGAACGGGUGAGUAACACGUGGGUGACCUGCCCUGCACUUCGGGAUAAGCCUGGGAAACUGGGUCUAAUACCGGAUAGGACCACGGGAUGCAUGUCCUGUGGUGGAAAGC